ACAAAUAUCAUAUUUGUAACUUAGUUACAAAGUUACAAGUUACAUUUAUUGAUUGCAAUUAAGAACGCAUACAAUUCGAAUGGGCCGAAUGGUAAUGAAACUUGCUGCAAAAUUAUUGGCAAAAUUAAUAACUAUUUACUAGAUGUAUCUGCAUGCAUCGUAAAAUUCCAUCAAAACGAGGGCAUUACGUCCGAGGGCAUUACGCCAUUAUCUGACUAAAAUCCCGACUUUCGAGGUAUUUAUCAUAUUUAAUUCUUGAUUGAGGAGGUUUUCCAUUAAAGUUUUGAAUGUUUUGUCUGUUACCUAGGAAAGAAAACCGACAACCGACUCAAUCAAGAAUUAAAUAAUGAGUUAAAGAAAAAAAUUAAAGAAAAGAAAUUAAAAUAAAAUAAAAAUAAAGCACAACAGACACUAAUAAUAAAGCACGCAAAUAAUAAUAAAGCACAACAGACACUUGCCGAAUUUGCUUGAGUGCACACGAAACAAUAUAGGUUGAAAUAGAGGCAGACAUCCAAUUUAUAUUUAAUAAUAUUAAUAUUAUAGUACAUUACUCAUUAGAUAGAGUUUUCAUUGUCAACCAGUAAUUUGGGAAGUGUUUAUAGCCUGUAUAGGAACGAACUAGCAAAGUAAUGUAAAAAUAACAUACUGUGCAUCUCCCAAGACAAAAUAAAAUUAUGUACAAUUUUAUUAAAAAUGUUAAACAAAUAAAUUUUCAUUUUAGCUUUGACGAAGAUCAGAUCUUACAGAGUCACACACAAAGAAAAACACUUCUUUUUUAACAAACAUUUUGUAUAUAUGCACGCAUGCAAUGCUUAGAUCUGUAUGACUCGAUAGAAACUCAAUAUAAGGUCUGUCAUAAAAAGGAGACCUUUAGAAAUUAAUCUAUUGUUGUUAAGC